GACGAACGCUGGCGGCGUGCUUAACACAUGCAAGUCGAACGGAAAGGCCCUGCUUGCAGGGUACUCGAGUGGCGAACGGGUGUGUAACACGUGUGUGAUGUUCCCUGCACUUCGGGAUAAGCCUGGGAAACUGGGUCUAAUACCGUAUAUGAGCCAUUUUUAUUGUGAUGGUGGGAAAGUUUUUUCGGUGUAGGAUGAGCUCGCGGCCUAUCAGCUUGUUGGUGGGGUAAUGUCCUACCAAGGCGGCGACGGGUAGCCGGCCUGAGAGGGUGGACGGCCACAUUAGGACUGAGAUACAGCCCAGACUCCUACGGGAGGCAGCAGUGGGGAAUAUUGCACAAUGGGCGCAGGCCUGAUGCAGCGACGCCGCGUGGGGGAUGACGGCCUUCGGGUUGUAACCUCCUUUCGCUAGGGACGAAGCUUUUUGUGACGGUACCUAGAUAAGAAGCACCGGCUAACUACGUG
rnacentral:rRNA from 1 species